UCUUCCGAAAUGAUUUUACUGAUGGAGAAGGCAUAUCAGCUACUGAGAAGCACAUUUGAAGAUGCAGGGUUCACAGAUGAGCAGAUUGCAUUUUUGUCAAAAAAAUGGUAUAUUGAUGUAUUGGCACGUAUCCGUAUCAAUUCUUUUCGGAUUGAAUUGGCCUUGGGAUCAUAUGAAGAUAUCCUUUUAUCAGCAGCAGCAUCAGUAGAAG
rnacentral:misc_RNA from 1 species